UCACAUAUAUAUAUUUUGAAUAUUGUGUGCGUCUGUGCGUAGCUUUCGAUAGAUACAAACGCUCUGACUACAGUCAGCUCUACUCUGACACUAAGACUCUAAUACACUCACUGUUUCCUGACAGUGUCAUACACAUUGUUUCCUGUUAAUUAAAUUAUGCUAUUGUGCAUUGUUCAUCAAUGGUUCAUUGUAUGCUUCAUGUGAUCAUCACGUGCAACACUCGUGCAUAUAAUUCUAGUGUAUUAUUUCCGUGUAUAAC
rnacentral:lncRNA from 1 species